rnacentral:misc_RNA from 1 species
GAUUCGGCGGCGGCUAGCUGUGAGCCGUAUGCGAGGGAAUUGCUCUCCGGGGCUCAGUCGAGGCACGCUAUCUUUUACGAGGAGUUUGUGGUGAAGGCAUUCUAUGAGGCAGAGAAAGCUCAUAGGGGGCAGAUGAGGGCGAGCGGAGAUCCGUACUUGCAGCAUUGUGUGGAAACGGCGGUGUGGCUUGCGAGAAUUGGUGCUAAUACAACGGUUGUUGCGGCGGGGCUUUUACAUGAUACUCUUGAUGAUUCGUUCAUGAAUUAUGACUAUAUCUUUCAGAAUUUCGGUGCUGGGGUAGCGGAUCUGGUGGAGGGGGUCUCAAAGCUAAGCCAUCUGAGCAAGCUUGCCCGUGAAAAUAACACUGCAACUAAAACCAUCGAAGCUGACCGGCUACACACAAUGUUCCUUGCAAUGGCUGAUGCCAGAGCCGUUCUUAUAAAGCUAGCAGAUAGGCUACAUAAC